rnacentral:rRNA from 1 species
AAUGAACGUUGGCGGCAUGGAUUAGGCAUGCAAGUCGAGCGAGAAGUGUAGCAAUACACGGAAAGCGGCGGAAGGGAGAGUAAUACGUGGGAAUCUGCCCUUGGACCUGGGAUAGCAGCGGGAAACUGCUGGUAAUACCAGAUAAUGUCUAUGGACCAAAGGUGUGAUUCCGUCUAGGGAUGAGCCCACGUCCUAUUAGCUAGUUGGUAGGGUAAUGGCCUACCAAGGCGAUGAUGGGUAGCGGGUGUGAGAGCAUGACCCGCCUCACUGGGACGGAGACACUGGCCAGACACCUACGGGUGGCUGCAGUCGAGAAUCUUCGGCAAUGGGUGCAAGCCUGACCGAGCGACGCCGCGUGCGGGAUGAGGGCCUUCGGGUUGUAAACCGCUGUCGAGGGGGAGCAACUUCCAUAGAGUUAUCUUUAUGGAUUGAGUGAUCCCUGGAGGAAGGACGGGCUAAGUUCGUGCCAGCAGCCGCCGUAAGAC